GCAUGCUUUGGACAAGCAAGUAAGCAUGGCUGUUUACACCCUUAUUUUUCUGCUGUUCUCUUUUUUAAUAUGUGGUUGCUCCACAGCUAAUAAGAGGGAAACAGUAACUUCUUCUGAAGAUCUCAGGGAAGCUCCAGAACGAAUGAGAAAUUGAGCCAACUUGCCUGAUAUUCCUUGGCCUUCUGAGCGGUGGAUUCCUGCAAAGAAGGCUUCUCAGAAGAUCAAGCAGAAGGGGAUAUUGGAUUCAUGAAGCGAGACCUAAUCAUUGCUGCCAUGAGUACUAUGUUGAUGGCUGUCUCUGUAAUCCUGAUGUGUUGCUGUUUUCUUCAGUAUAAGCUUGUGACCAAGGAAGAAAAGAUUUUGAAGAAAGAAGAUCAGGCUUUUGCCCUCCAGACUUACUCACUGCACAAUGAGAUCUGUAUUGACCUAUCACCAGAACACAAAGCUCCUUCCAGGGUUUUGCCAGUAGAACCUUCCCAGUGUGAAAGAUCAGCAAUACAAAGCUUAGUGGGUGAUUUGACAUUAUCAGCCUCCAGUGACACUGUUGGGUUGGGCUAUAAAAACAGGUGUUGGUCUAACAGCAGUGCGGAUUCCACAGCCAGAACCAGAACACUUGAAACUUGCAUUUCCACUCUCCCAAAGUCAAAAACACCUUUGCAAUGUCACGAGGACUAUUGUGUGUGCUCAGGGAGUUCUUCUCCAGCAUCUGAAAGCACUGAUGUCUGCACAUGUGAAGACAGAGAGCAAACCACUGAUUCUGCUGCCGCAAUUUUUUGCCCUACCACUAUUACCAAGGACAUAACUUCUAGCAAAAGCUAUCCUUAUGCCAAUUAAUAAUGGCAAUCCAGCAAUGGAGACAGAGGAGUUGUUAAAAAUAUUUUUGUGAGGCUAUAUCUCACCUGAUUCAAA